rnacentral:rRNA from 1 species
UGUCCAGACUCCUACGGGAGGCAGCAGUGGGGAAUAUUGCACAAUGGGGGAAACCCUGAUGCAGCGACGCCGCGUGAGUGAAGAAGUAUUUCGGUAUGUAAAGCUCUAUCAGCAGGGAAGAAGUUGACGGUACCUGAGUAAGAAGCCCCGGCUAACUACGUGCCAGCAGCCGCGGUAAUACGUAGGGGGCAAGCGUUAUCCGGAUUUACUGGGUGUAAAGGGAGCGUAGACGGCAGUGCAAGUCUGAAGUGAAAGCCCUGGGCUUAACCCGGGAAUUGCUUUGGAAACUGUACGGCUGGAGUGCUGGAGAGGUAAGCGGAAUUCCUAGUGUAGCGGUGAAAUGCGUAGAUAUUAGGAGGAACACCAGUGGCGAAGGCGGCUUACUGGACAGUAACUGACGUUGAGGCUCGAAAGCGUGGGGAGCAAACAGGAUUAGAUACCCUUGUA